rnacentral:rRNA from 1 species
GGCUCUGAUUAUGGCUCAGAUUGAACGCUGGUAUAGGGAUGCUUCAUUACGCAAAUGGAACGGCAAAGACGACUUCGGUCUGGUGGCGAGUGGCGAACGGGUGAGUAAUGUAUCGGAACGUGCCUAGUAGCGGGGGAUAACUACGCGAAAGCGUAGCCAAUACCGCAUACGGCCCUUCGGGGGAAAGCGGGGGACCUUCUUGGGCCCCAGAAAUUAUUAGAGCGGCCGAUAUCGGAUUAGCUAGUUGCGGCAAACGGCUCACCGCGACGAUCUCAGCUGGGUUUGGCGACGACCAGCCACACUGGGACUGAGACACGGCCCAGACUCCCUACGGGAGGCAGCAGUGAAUUUUGGACAAUGGGGGAAACCCCGAUCCAGCCAUCCCCGCGCAGCGAUACAGCCUUCGGCCAGAAAGCACUUUGGCAAAGAAAACGGCACGGGAGAUAAUACCCCCGUGCAACUGACGGUACCAAGAAUAAGCACCGGCUAACUACGUGCCAGCAGCCGCGGCAAUACGUAGGGUGCAAGUGUUAAUCGGAAUUACUGGCGUAAAGGCGGUGCAGGCGGUUCGGAAAGAAAGAGAUGGUAAACCAGAGCUUAACUUUGGAACUGCAUUUUUAACUACCGAGCUAGAGCAAGUCGAGGAGGUGAAUUCCAGGUAGCAGCAGAAAUGCGUAGAUAUGCGAGGAACACCGACAGGCGAAGGCAGUCAUAACACUGACGUUCAUGCACGAAAGCGUGGGGAGCAAACAGGAUUAGUACCCAGGUUCACGCCCUAAACGAUGUCAACUAGCUGUUGGGGCCUUCGGGCCUGGUAGCGCAGCUAACGCGUGAAGUUGACCGCCUGGGGAGUACGGUCGCAAGAUUAAAACUCAAAGGAAUGAUGAAUCGCACAAGCGGUGGAUGAUGUGGAUUAAUUCGAUGCAACGCGAAAACCUUACCUACCUUUAUGAUACGUUCGGAAUCCCGAAGAGAUUUGGGAGUGCUCGCAAGAGAACCGGAAGAGGUGUUGCAUGGCUGUCGUCAGCCGUGUCGUGAGAUGUUGGGCAGCCCCGCAACGAGCGCAACCCUUGUCAUUAGUUGCUGCCGAAAGGGCACUCUAAUGUGAGAUCAAACAGACAAACUGAGUGAAGGUGGGGAUGACGUCGUCCUCAUGGCCCUUAUGGGUAGGUCAUUAUCGUCGCACAAUGGUCGGGACAGAGGGUCGCCAACCUGGCGAGGGGGAGCCAAUCCCAGAAACCCGAUCAGUCCGAUCGCAGUCU